UUGGAUCGCCAAGCUGGAUUGGGUGGG
rnacentral:piRNA from 1 species